CGGGGUGCAGCAGGCGCGAAAACUUUACAAUGCCGGCAACGGCGAUAAGGGAACCUCGAGUGCCAGGUUACAAAUCUGGCUGUCGUGAUGCCUAAAAAGCAUUGCAUAGCAAGGGCCGGGCAAGACCGGUGCCAGCCGCCGCGGUAACACCGGCGGCUCGAGUGGUAACCGUUAUUAUUGGGUCUAAAGGGUCUGUAGCCGGCCGGGUAAGUCUCUUGGGAAAUCUGGCAGCUUAACUGUCAGGCUUUCAGGAGAUACUGCCUGGCUCGAGGCCGGGAGAGGUGAGAGGUACUUCAGGGGUAGGGGUGAAAUCUUGUAAUCCUUGAAGGACCACCAGUGGCGAAGGCGUCUCACCAGAACGGACCUGACGGCAAGGGACGAAAGCUAGGGGCACGAACCGGAUUAGAUACCCGGGUAGUCCUAGCCGUAAACGAUACUCGCUAGGUGUCGGCCACGGUGCGACCGUGGUCGGUGCCGUGGGGAAGCCGUGAAGCGAGCCACCUGGGAAGUACGGCCGCAAGGCUGAAACUUAAAGGAAUUGG
rnacentral:rRNA from 1 species